rnacentral:rRNA from 1 species
ACCUCGCAGUCGGCAACGGCUGUCGAGGGGUGUUGCGUUUCGGUGGGUCCGUCCCGCUCGCGCUGCUAACCGCCUAAGUCAUUGCUUGAAAGUAGCCCCGUGGAGGGUGAUAGGCCCGUGUGGCGGCGCCUAUAAAAAGGUAGGAGGCGGCGUGGGCGGAGGGAUCUUCACCGCAGAGUCGGGUUGCUUAGUACUGCAGCCCUAAGAAGGUGGUAAACUCCAUCUAAGGCUAAAUACUACCACGAGUCCGAUAGAUAACAAGUACCGUGAGGGAAAGCUGAAAAGAACUUUGAAGAGAGAGUUCAAUAGGACGUGAAACCAUUAGAAGCAUAAACGGGUGGAACCACGAUGGUCGAACGAGGGGAUUCAGCUCACGGGCCCCCGGCCCGGAGGGUGGCCAGAAAGCAGUGGAGAGGACCGGGCGUCAAUUAGCAGUGAGGCCUCGGCUCCGACCCUCUGUAAGGCUGGUGUGGCUCCGUGGGCUUACUUCUCCCUCUAGUAGCGGCGCCACGACCCGCUGCCGGCGGCUCCUAGGGCCUGUCUGGACUGGUAGCCGGGAC